rnacentral:lncRNA from 1 species
UUUGGCCGAGGAAGAGGUCGAGGACUCACACAAAGGGAAGGGAGAGAAGCCACCACCAAAGCACAAGCCACCACAUGGACAUCUUUUGGCCGAGGAAGAAGUUGAGGACUCACACAAGGGAAAGGGAGAGAAGCCACCACCAAAACACAAGCCUCCGCAUGGACAUCUUUUAGCUGAAGAAAAAGUUGAGGACUCACACAAGGGAAAAGGAGAGAAGCCACCACCAAAACACAAGCCCCCGAAUGGACAUCUUUUAGCUGAAGAAGAAGUUGAUGACUCACACAAAGGAAAGGGAGAGAAGCCACCACCAAAGCACAAGCCACCACAUGGACAUCUUUUGGCCGAGGAAGAGGUCGAGGACUCAUACAAAGGAAAGGGAGAGAAACCACCACCAAAACACAAACCUCCACAUGGACAUCUUUUAGCCGAGGAAGAAGUUGAGGACUCACACAAGGGAAAGGGAGAGAAACCACCACCAAAACACAAGCCCCCACAUGGACAUCUUUUAGCCGAGGAAGAAGUUGAUGACUCGCACAAGGGAAAGGGAGAAAAGCCACCACCAAAACACAAGCCACCUCACGGGCACUUAUUAGUUGAAGAGGUUGAAGACUCACACAAGGGGAAAGGAGAAAAACCACCGCCAAAGCACAAACCACCUCAUGGACACCUUUUAGCUGAAGAGGCCAACGACUCUCACAAAGGAAAGGGAGAGAAGCCACCAUGCAAGUCUCCUCACAAACCCCCAUCAGCCAACUAAGUGCCUUACGCUAAUUUCGCUAGAUGCUUAAAAAUAAGAAACAGAAGUAGUUUACUCUUCUGUUGGUUUCUGUAUCUGCAUUUUUCACUGAAUUAGUAUUUGUACUUUGGCUUGUAUUAUAUGAGUACUACCCUCUAGUUGGCUGUUUUAUGUAGAUUAUGGUUUUAUGUUCUAGUGCUGCGCGUAUUAUUUCAGUUGACUUAACUUUUAUUUGCAAAAUAUACAGCAAGACAUGCACACAAUCCUAGUACGUAGUUUUGCCACAUGCAUAUAUUUGGUGGUAGGAUAUUGUCAACGACAACAACGUUUAAUUACUUUAACUUAAACACGUGCUGAUGAUUUUUUUUUUUGUAAAAGCCCUUUAUUAGUAAACUAGUAUUACUCUGACAUCAACAGAUAUACCAUAGGUUUUGUCUAAAACUUGAAGGUUUCUGUAGUUUAAUUUGGUAAGUAAAAUUUUUUGUGUGUAGCACAUAAUGAAUAUGUUACUUACAUGUGUAGAUUUAUAUUUUACAUUUUAUUUUAAUAUUAGAUAAUUAAUAUAUAUAUAUUUAAUUAUUUAAAUUUAUAUAUAUUACUAAUUUAUUAAUUUAGUCUAUAUAUAUAUAUGAUAUACAUUUAAGUUAAAUUAGGUAAGAAGUUAUUAAGUACUUCCAAAUUAAUAUGAAAUAAUUCUCUAAAGGAAAUGAAUCAACUCUUGGAAAAUGUCGGGAGAAAAGAUUUCAAAUUUCUGCAUGUCUCUGUUUCUGCUCAGUGGAUGUCUCUGUUUCUGCUUGCUGCCUAUGUUGCAAUAUUUAUUUGGCUUUUUAUUCCUGGUAAAUUUCUUAUUUUCCUCUUAAUUUUGACUAGGCCGGCUGAUUCGGGAGUAAGAUUUAAGUAGUUUUAUAUUUAAUGAAAAGUAGAAUUCUGAAGAAGCGAAAAUAAAUAUAAAAAGGGAUAAUUGGUGUUCUGAGUGAAUCAUUAUUAAACACAAAAUUAGUAUUACAAACAAAAUUGCAAUUAUCAAAAUGACAGUAUGCUCCACAGAUAGAUGAUUAUCUAAUCAGUACUUAUAAUUAGCCUAAAUUUAAUAGGAAUAGUACAGAAUUAAACUUUCUUUUUUAAAAAAAGGGUCAUUAAACUGAAUCAUAAGAACAGGAUAGAGAGUAUUUGUAAUCAAAGAAACAUAGAGAGAAUUCAAAGUAAUGCCCCCAGAUGAUAGCCCUGAACAAUAAAUAUUACUUAGAAAAACAAACUGCCAAGAGAAAUUAGUCAAUAAAAUUUAGAUUGAAUCACGAUAUUUAUAAACGAGUAGAUAAAUAUAUCUUUUUUAUUAAAAAAUAAUAUUGCAUAAUUCAUCUUAAUUUAUUUCAACUUUUACUCAUAAAAUGUGAUAUAUAAUAUAUUUAUAAAAUUAUUAAUAUUUUGAUAUUACUCUCUUAAUUAAUAAAUAAUUCCAUAAAAACAUCAUACACCAUAUUAUAUAAACAAUAGUUGGGACAAAUCAAAAUGAAAUGUUUAGCAUUUUUCUAGUUAAAACCUAUUCUACAAUUCAAACCAAAAAUAGCAGUCCAAGAAAGCAUAUCUUUCACUAAUAAUCCAAACAAAUCGCUAAUUCUAAACAACCACGUUUUGGUUAAAAGAUUAUUAAUUUAGUUUGUCUAAUAAUUCGAUCCUGAAUUUGCUGAGCCGCAGUAGGAUCUCGCUCGUAUAUACAAAUCCUGAAGAAGAUCACUAUAAAUUUCUGAUCCAAUAAUGAAACUUUGAAGUCCAUAAGUAGGUUUAGGAGAAAUUUAAAGGCAGAUUCAGUUUUAAUAUUAAAUUAUAAAUAAUAUCAAUUAUACAGUAAUAUAUAACAUUAUUUACUGAUUAUUACACUUAUAUCAGUUGAAUUCUAGCCAUAAAUAAUGAAUGGUAUGGAUAGUAGUACUUAAAAAGAAUAAUCUCCAUAUAUAUAUAAAUGCAUGGAAUUUAAUAACUUUCACACCUAUGAAAUUAUCCCACCUAAAACAGAAAACCUUAGUAUUAAAUUGAGAAUAAUGCAGAAAUAUAAAUAUUUGAAAUAAUUACAAAUAAUGCAGAAAUACAAGGACCGCAGGAAAACAGAGGCCACACACUCUUGGCUGGAAUGAUUUUCCUAUUUUUGCAUGCUCACCCAUUACUCUACUCUAUCGCAUUAUUAUUGUUCAAAACUUCACAACUUAACAAAUAUACUUCCAACACAUCACAUGCGUGACCCAUUAAUUAUUACAUGUGAACGUAAAAUGAGAAGUGGUGACAACAGCAGUGAUGUCACACUUUCUGAUAUUACUACAAUUCUUGGAUGACUUACCUUAAUUCCUUUCUGGUGCAUGUUGCAGUAAUUUAUUAGAAAUACAUAAGACCUUUUUUUUCUUCCUAUCUCUUUGUUUCAUUGUAGAAUAGUCCGAGACAACGAUAAUAUCUUACACUUAAUUUGUCUGUAAAUAUAUAUACACUUGACUUUACAUGCUAUAGUAUUAUUAACUAGUCACCUAGACAGAUUUGAAGUAGAUAAUAUUUAUCGAUAAAUUACUUUCUAGAUUUCUAUUUUAUGGUUACAUACAUCAAAAUUUCUGCAAAACAAGUGGAGAAUAGCCUAAUUUGGGGAUUCAAAGAAACUUUGAUGGCUUCUUUUUCUACUCGAAAUUAUACUAAAAAUAAUUCAUAAACAUGAAUGAUCCAAGGGUGGAGAGCAAGACUCUUAGCCAGUUUGUCAAAAAUUUUAACUCGAUGGGACCCAAUAGAUCUAAUUGGUUCGUAAGAGAGCCAAAUGUAUUCAACUUCACUACAUAGUGUACUAAUCUAUAGUAAAGGACAGGUGCAGUAUGACAUGGGUGGUGACGACAUAGUCCCACCGUCCACCCAUGCAAUAUUAUAAAAGGCAGAGCAAAGCUUCAAGUUUUGCACCAUCAACUGAACCCCAAAUAUGUCUUCUAAAUACUUGCUAGUGUUGUUCCUCCUCGGAGCAUUAGUGCUUCUCUUCACAACCCCCUCAUAUGCUGAUCAUCAUGAGCCCCUUAGAAAUAAAGGAGAGAAACCACCUCCAAAACAUAAACCACCACAUGUUCAUCUUCUAGCUGAAAAUAUAGAAGAUUUUCAUGGACAUGCAAAAGGUAAAAGAGACAAGCCACCACCUAAACAUAAACCACCACAUGGACAUCUUUUAGCUGAGGAAGUAGAUGAUUAUUCUACAUCUCCGGGAUGGAAACUACAUAAUCCUCCAUCAGAGCAUAAACCACCGCAUAAGCCUCCACAUGAGCAAAAGCCACUAAAUAGACGUCUUUUACAAGUAGAUAUUGAGGAUGCACAUAAAGAAAAGGGAGAGAAGCCACCACAUGGACAUCUUUUGGCCGAGGAAGUUAUGGAGGACUCGCCUAAGAAAAAGGGAGAGAAGCCACCACCAAAGCACAAGCCACCACAUGGACAUCUUUUGGCCGAGGAAGAGGUCGAGGACUCACACAAAGGGAAGGGAGAGAAGCCACCACCAAAGCACAAGCCACCACAUGGACAUCUUUUGGCCGAGGAAGAAGUUGAGGACUCACACAAGGGAAAGGGAGAGAAGCCACCACCAAAACACAAGCCCCCGCAUGGACAUCUUUUAGCUGAAGAAAAAGUUGAGGACUCACACAAGGGAAAAGGAGAGAAGCCACCACCAAAACACAAGCCCCCGCAUGGACACCUUUUAGCUGAAGAAGAAGUUGAUGAUUCGCACAAGGGAGAGGGAGAAAAGCCACCACCAAAACACAAGCCACCUCACGGGCACUUAUUAGUUGAAGAGGUUGAAGACUCACACAAGGGGAAAGGAGAAAAACCACCGCCCAAGCACAAACCACCUCAUGGACACCUUUUAACUGAAGAGAUCAACGACUCUUACAAAGGAAAGGGAGAGAAGCCACCUCACAAGCCUCCCCACAAACCCCCAUCAGCCGACUAAGUACCUUAGGCUAAUUUCGCUAAAUGCUUAGAAAUAAGAAACAGAAGUCUACUCUUCUGUUGGUUUCUGUAUCUGCAUUUUCACUGAAUUAGUAUUUGUACUUUGGCUUGUAUUAUAUGAAUACUACCCUCUAGUUGGCUGUUUUAUGUAGAUUAUGGUUUUAUG